AUUGAACGCUGGCGGCAGGCCUAACACAUGCAAGUCGAGCGGCAGCGGGUCCUUCGGGAUGCCGGCGAGCGGCGGACGGGUGAGUAAUGCCUAGGAGUCUGCCUGGUAGUGGGGGAUAACGUUCGGAAACGGACGCUAAUACCGCAUACGUUCUACGGGAGAAAGUGGGGGAUCUUCGGACUUCACGCUAUCAGAUGAGCGUAGGUCGGAUUAGCUAGUUGGUGGGGUAAUGGCUCACCAAGGCGACGAUCCGUAACUGGUCUGAGAGGAUGAUCAGUCACACUGGAACUGAGACACGGUCCAGACUCCUACGGGAGGCAGCAGUGGGGAAUAUUGGACAAUGGGCGAAAGCCUGAUCCAGCCAUGCCGCGUGUGUGAAGAAGGUCUUCGGAUUGUAAAGCACUUUAAGUUGGGAGGAAGGGCAGUCAGUUAAUACCUGGUUGUUUUGACGUUACCAACAGAAUAAGCACCGGCUAACUUCGUGCCAGCCGCCGCAGUAA
rnacentral:rRNA from 1 species